rnacentral:rRNA from 1 species
UGCGGAGAGUUUGAUCCUGGCUCAGGAUGAACGCUGGCGGCGUGCCUAAUACAUGCAAGUCGGACGGAGGCAUCAGCGAUGGUGUCUUAGUGGCGAAC